rnacentral:misc_RNA from 1 species
CCAAUAGCGUAUAUUAAAGUUGUUGCAGUUAAAAAGCUCGUAGUUGAAUUUUAGGCCUGACCGGACGGUCCGUCUCUGGCGAGUACUGUUCUGCUGUCGGGUCUAUCCUUCUGGUGAGCCGGUAUGCCCUUUAUUGGGUGUGUCGGGGAACCAGGACCAUUACCUUGAAAAAAUUAGAGUGUUUAAAGCGGGCUUUUGCUUGAAUAGAUUAGCAUGGAAUAAUAGAAUAGGACGUUGGUUCUAUUUUGUUGGUCUAGGACCACCGUAAUGAUUAAUAGGGAUAGUUGGGGGCAUUAGUAUUCAAUUGUCAGAGGUGAAAUUCUUUGAUUUAUUGAAGACUAACUACUGCGAAAGCAUUUGCCAAGGAUGUUUUCAUUAAUCAAGAACGAAAGUUAGGGGAUCGAAGACGAUCAGAUACCGUCGUAGUCUUAACCAUAAACUAUGCCGACUAGGAAUCGGGCGACGUUAUUUUCAUGACUCGCUCGGCGCCUUAUG